AUUGAACGCUGGCGGCAGGCCUAACACAUGCAAGUCGAGCGAGCGGCGGACGGGUGAGUAAUGUCUGGGAAACUGCCUGAUGGAGGGGGAUACCUACUGGAAACGGUAGCUAAUACCGCAUACCAUCAGAUGUGCCCAGAUGGGAUUAGCUAGUAGGUGGGGUAACGGCUCACCUAGGCGACGAUACCUAGCUGGUCUGAGAGAAUGACCAGCCAAAUCGGAACUGACACACGGUCCACACUCCCACGGGAGGCAGCAGUGGGGAGUAUUGCACAAUGGGCGCAAGCCUGAUGCAGCGAUGCCGCGUGUGUGAAGAAGGCCUGAGGGUUGUAAAGCACUUUCAGCGGGGAGGCGUUACCCGCAGAAGAAGCACCGGGUAACUCCGUGCCAGCAGCCGCGGUAAUUC
rnacentral:rRNA from 1 species